rnacentral:ncRNA from 1 species
AAGGGAAUCGGCAAAGUCAGAUCCGUAACUUCGAGAUAAGGAUUGGCUCUAAGGGCCCGGGGUCGGUCGGCCAGGGAGCGAAGUGGGGGCUGGGCUCGAGCUGCAACUGGGGGAGUGCUUGCCCCGCGCGCCCCGUCGUUCUGCCCCUCGUCGGAAGCCUCGGAGCGCGUCGCGCCCGUCCUUCUCCAUCGUCGUCCGGAGGCCCGGCGUUUCGGCGGUCGGUCGUCGGCGGCGGCGGGGGGUCUGGGCUCGGCUCUACGCUCCGGGGCCGGUAGGGCGGGGUAACGGGCGGGGCGCGGGCGUGGAGCAGCGGCCGCGACUCUGGGCGUGCGCCGGGCCCUUCUCGCGGAUCUCCCCGCUACGGUGCUGCGUCUGGACCUCCGCUCCAUCCCCCCCGCCUCGGCCGGCGCUAACAGCUGAAACUUAGAACUGGGUGCGGCACCAGGAAUCCGACUGUUUAAUUAAAACAAAGCUAUCGUGAGGGCCUCUUAAGGCGGGUGUUGACACGUGUGAUUUCUGCCCAGUGUUCUGAAUGUCAAAGUGAAGACAUUCAAUGAAGUGCACGGAGUCACUGAAUAAGGCGGACUUUUUAGAAGGGCAUUGAACAUUGGGGGAGUUGAGAUUGACCUGAUACAUCUAGAUUGCUUAGUAUGGCUUAAGCGAGGCCAUUUGGAACGCAUCCUGCCAACUCUCCAAGAAGUUUGUGCGGAGAAUUCACACUACAUAACACUUAUGAGUUGUAUAAGAGUGAGCUCACCUAAUUUACUCGCUGCUGUUCUGAUCUCCUUCAUUUUCUGGAGGACUUCAUCAUCCAUCAUGGAAAUUUUUGUCUGCUGGAAUCACACUCACUAGACAGUGGAUCUGAUCAUUCAGAGUGGGGUGGGGAUGUAGUGCACGUUGGCUUCAUCUAUUGGGUCAAGAGGUUAAACACUAAAUUUGAGAAAAAAAAAAAAACAGAACAUCAAUCUUUACUGAAACAACAUGAAACCAGGGUUGCACUGAUUUGUUUCAAUUAUUUUUUGUUUUUGUGUUUGUGUGUGUUUGU